GGCAACCAGAGCCAGCUGGGACACCGAGCUUGGGGUAGGAGCCAGGUAUUUUUCCUCCAUUCAUCUGUUGAUUCCAUCAGUGUUUUCUUCUAAGCUUGGGCUCUAACUGCAGUGUCCAACGUGGGAAAACAAACCCGAAAGUCAGGAACUGAGCUGCAUCUGCUCUAGUGCUGCCUUUUGCUCUUCUGAAAUGAAGCCAAAAGGCACAGCCCCUGCCCUCCAGAACAGGAAGCUGCUGAAAGAGCGUGUCCUUUCUCCAGCGCUGCCUGCCCUCACUUUGGCUCUUUCCACCAUCCGUUUGAGAGCAUUCAGUUUCCUCGACCCACAGAUGAGCAGAGCACAUCUGCCAGCCCAGUUCCCCCUGGCGGAGCGCACCUCUGACCCUCACUUGGAGACCUCCUGGACUCUUCUUGGACUUUCCAGCCAAUGGCUUGCAGUAGUAGGGAAAACUCACUUCUAUUUUGAUGGUAUGGAAGGAGUGAGGCCUGGUAAUCAAACUGGGCAUAAAUCCCAGCUCCAUCACUCACCAACUGUGUGACUUUGGGGAAGUCACUUUUCUGAACCUCGGUUUCCACAACUAUAAAACAAGAAUAAUAAUUUGUAAUUUGCAGAGCUGCUGUGAAAUUAAACAAAGCAAAAUAUGUAAAGGCCUUAGUGGUUUCUGGCCUUCUUAGUGGAGGCACUGGCCUAGUGUAAACACCUCUGACCCCUCUUCCUGUAGGUCCACCACUGGGUUGCCUCAGUUCUGGUGCCAGGUUCUGAGAACAGCCUGCUCCGCCCUCUUUUUCUUUUCUUCCUUCUCAUCCCAGUGUUACCUCCUAUCCUGGCCCCUCUCCAAAUCUGGUGUUACAUGAAAUCGUCUGCCUAAAACUUUGAAGGUGUUCCUAGGCUAGAAAUCUCAGGGGUGUCUUCUCUCUUUUCUUACCCCUCCAUACCUUCUCCCUGGCAUUCUGACUUAGCGAUUCCAUCCAUAAUUGUGGCUUUACCUCAUUUAUAGGGAAGGCUGUCAAAUCUGUUUCAUGCCUUGACUUCCAAGCCCAUCUCUGUCCUCCUUGUUCCCCGAUCUCAACCGUCAGGGGGAAAGUGUACAAUCUGCACUUAGUCAUUUUGCAGACAUAGCCUAUGAAGGCAUAGUAACAUCACCUGUUUAUCGAGCACCGAGUAGGUCCAUGUCUCUGCACCAGGAUACAAUACAGGAGGGAAAAGAUGUGUUUCUUGUCCUCAGGGGCUCCUGGGUCAGAGAGAGUUCCAGUGCCAGGUGCACGUGAGGCAUAACUGUAAACAGGUGUCACUGGAAAUAGAAAGUUAUUUGUCAUUGUGGCCUUUAAUGCUAUCAGUGGAGCCAAGAAUAAGCCAUUGCCAGUACUGUCACAUGGGAGAAGAUAAUGGAAAGAAAGAAGGGAGGAAGGAAAGGAAGUAGAAGAGAAAGAAAAGAAAGAAGAAAAGGAGAAAGAGAAAGGAAGGAAGAAAGAAAAAGGGAGGAAAGGAGGAAGGAAGGAAGGGGGAUUUAAGAAAACAGGCAGAGAGAGAAGUCAUGAGAAAAGUCAAAAGAAGUCAGAAAGAAAAACACCAACACAGUAUAUUAACACACAUAUAUAUAUGGAAUUUGGAAAGAUGGUAAUGACAACCCUAUAUGCGAGACAGCAAAAGAGACACAGAUAUAAAGAACAGACUUUUGGACUCUGUGGGAGAAGGCGAAGGUGGGAUGAUUUGAGAGAAUAGCAUUGAAACAUGUAUAUUACCACAUGUGAAACAGAUGACCAGUCCAAGUUCAAUGUGUGAAACAGGACACUCAAAGCCGGUGCACUGGGAC
rnacentral:lncRNA from 1 species